UACGGAGGGUGCAAGCGUUAUCCGGAUUCACUGGGUUUAAAGGGUGCGUAGGUGGGUUGAUAAGUCAGUGGUGAAAUCCCCGAGCUUAACUUGGGAACUGCCAUUGAUACUAUUGAUCUUGAAUACCGUGGAGGUCAGCGGAAUAUGUCAUGUAGCGGUGAAAUGCUUAGAUAUGACAUAGAACACCCAUUGCGAAGGCAGCUUACUACACGAUCAUUGACGCUGAGGCACGAAAGCGUGGGGAGCAAACAGG
rnacentral:rRNA from 1 species